rnacentral:tmRNA from 1 species
GGGGAUGCUAGGCAUCGAUGGGAAUAUAAGCAAUAUGUGCAAGUCGGGGUGAGCACCCCGUAAACAGCUCAACCGUACAAGUGCAAACUUAGUACAAAGAGCCAAAAGCGUUUUAGCUAAUGCUUUUGCGCCAAGGCUCGCAAUGGCUGUCGCUUAAUAGCAAUAGCCCAUCCGCUCGGUUGAUUCUCGAUAAGCCGAAUCCGGGUGUCAUAUUUCGAGAUAGGUAAUAAGGGUUUGUUCAGCCUGAUUUACCAAAACACAAAUUGAACUUUGCGAUUGGUUAUUUCGCCUACUUUUUAACCGAUUGCGAGAAACCAAGUGGGCUAAGCUUGUAGAUUGUAUUGUGUAUUAUUUUCAGACGCGGGUUCGACUCCCGCCAUCUCCAUUU